GCUUAGCCCUGAUUGAGGUAUUUGUUGGAGCUCAUUUUUGUCAAAAAAUAGCGACUACCGAAAGCAGGAAAUAGC
rnacentral:sRNA from 1 species